rnacentral:rRNA from 1 species
ACGAACGCUGGCGGCGUGGCUAAGGCAUGCAAGUCGAACGGACCUACCUGAAGGGCAACCGGAGGAUAGGCCAGUGGCGAACGGGUGAGGAAUACAUGGAUAACGUACCCCGGACGCAGGGAUAGCGUUGCGAAAGCGACGGUAAUACCUGAUGACCCCGUAGGAUCGCAUGGUCCAGCGGGCAAAGCUCCGACGGUCCGGGAGCGAUUCAUGUCCUAUCAGCUAGUUGGCGGGGUAACGGCCCACCAAGGCUACGACGGGUACCGGGCGUGAGAGCGCGAUCCGGCACAUCGGAACUGAGACACGGUCCGGACACCUACGGGUGGCUGCAGCAACGAAUAUUCCGCAAUGGACGAAAGUCUGACGGAGCGACGCCGCGUGCAGGAUGAAGUCCCUCGGGAUGUAAACUGCUGUCAGGGGUUAGGAAUUAAUGACCAGCCCCAGAGGAAGCCACGGCUAACUCCGU